CAUAUCCUACGAUGUGCGUAAACCCUUUUUGUUUUAAACCGUAUUGUUUUCUAGGGAUUCUAACAUUUGAUAACUGAUGCCAAGCCUUCAUUUAUGAAGGAUCGCAAGAUGUUACCAUGAAGAAACCCACCUGCUCAGAGCGGGUUAUAAAAACAGUUAGGGUGACGGCAUCAGUGGGAAUAU
rnacentral:other from 1 species